GAAUCCUUCCUUUUCUUCUUAAAUUUAUAGUUUGAAUUAGCAUUUUCUGAUUUUUAGUUCCGUUGGGUGAUUAAGUUGAUUUACAGUACCUAUAAUGGCAACACAUUUAGUUUACAAUUCCUAAGUUCAUGACCUAAGCCUGAAUUUUUGAUUUAUCAAGUUAAGUUUUUAUAGUUAUGUAGAAUAAUAUUUUGUUACAGUUAUUUUGUUAAAAUUAAAAGUUUUAGUUACUUUUUUUAAUGACUUAAAGUUAUCUAAUAGAUUACUUAGUUUCGCCUUGCAAAAACCCCCGGGGUAGUUAUCAUGUCCAUUGCUUAAAAUUCAGCACUUAAUUAUUAGUUCUAUAGAAAGUCAUUAUAUGUCUAAUUUAAACUUCACUGCGUGGUCACCUCAAUGAUCAGUUCAAGAAAUAGUUAUAUAAUUUCUCUAACAGGCUGAUAAGUGUACUACACUACUACUAGCAAUGUUAUGCCAAUGCAUCUGGCUAGCAUUCUUCUCUCAGGGAGGAGUUUGCAUAUGAACAAACAUUUAGGGCUGUCCUUGUUGGUACUUGUUAGAACAUCAACCUUCGACGCGUAAGCAAUUUGCUUAAAGAGUUCUGAGGCUCUAGAACAACAACAUCCCACUGAAAAUUAUAGGACUUAAUCUAGAUUCCCCACUAGAGGUAGACAGUUCAGAGAUAAUAAAUCUAUUGGUGGAGUUUAGAUAUCAAAUUAGAGCUUUCAAUCUAAGUUAAUGGCUACUCAGGGUAUCCAUGAGACUCAGUGGUCAGAUCUUGUUUCCUCUGUGAUUCAGUUAGCAUUCUUAUCCUUGGUUCCUCUAUGAUUCAGGUGCAUUCCUUCCACUUGCUCGCUGAUGAUAUUUUAUUGUAUACAACCUAGUUAUAUACAGAUAAGUACCUUAUUAGUGAGAUGGCUACUCAGGGGAUAUCCAUGAGAUGCAGCAGUCAAAUCUUGUAUCCUCCGCUCCUAAAGCCUUGGGCAUAGACAAUAUACUAGGCUUUGAUUGGCCGAAAUCUCCAUCUCAUGAAGCAAUGAUUCGAGCGCUUGAAUUCUUUUAUUUGUUGGGUAUGCUUGAUGAUGAUGCUUGACUUCACCAGUUGGAUCUCAAGCAGCAGAGAUCCUACUAGUAUGCCACAAACACUUACUGUUAAAAUAUUGUAUAAUUAAGCUUCUUAUUGCGUCUUAUAUCACUGUUUUAACCUUGAUGCAUGGAUAGUUUGGCAAUUGUGCUUUGAGUGAGAUAAACAUCAACUCUUGUGUUUUUCUCUUUCAAGUAAAUAAAUUGAGAAAAAUGAGUAAGUGCAUUGAAGUUAGACUUCACCAUUUGGAUGUCAAAUAGGAGAGAUUACACUACUAUGCCACAAACACUUGCUGUUAAAAAUUUGCAAUCUUUAAGCUUCUUAUAGCAUUCUAUAUCACUAUUUUAAUCUUGAUGCAUGGAUAGCUUGUUAAUGGUGGUUUGAAUGCAAUGAAAAUGGUUAGAUAAUCUUUUAUGUUUUUCUUCUUCUUUGAAGUAAAUAUGGUUUAGAGAAAUGACCAAAUGCAGGAAAACCUUGUAUUCUAGUAUAUAUGUACUGAAGCUCUUCUAUUUUCAAUUUGAUAUUUUGUUACUUAACACAAAAGUGGACGUGUGGAAAUCUCUUCUCUUUAGUACUCCUUCCGAUUAUCUCGAGAAUAUACAUUGAAUAAAUGUAUCAAAUUGAACUUGCUUCUGUCUGUUCCUUGAGAAAAGUUGACCUUGUAAUGUAUGGUUCAGAACAGGGCAUUUCAGGCUUAUGAUGGAUGAGUUUCCAGUGGCUGUAUGCCCUGGAAGUUGGAAUGGCCUUUCUUUCCAUUGAGAAAAGAAAAAGAAAAAAGAAGGAUCCAUUGAUUUCAAAAAUAACGUCAUCUUCCCACCAAUUUGAAUGUUCUAAGGAGAUCAUUACCAUUGCUGCUGUUCUCUCCCUUCAGUUGGCACCCUUAAAUUAUGACAUGUGGACUCUCAAACAUCGUACCAAACUGGAAACAUGCGUUACGAGUCCUUCGGCCUUCUCCAGCAGCUUCGUCUUCCAUCACUCUUCAAACCGUCAACUGAGAUAUGCGACACCAUAUAAAAAAAAAAGAACUCAACUGUACCAAUCUUUGCCUCUUCAAUCUUCCACGGCAACUCAGUAUUGCAGAAAAACAAUUAUGUCAAACAAGUAAAGAUAUGCUACAAAAAGAAUGAUCCAUGGCAGGUCAAUACAAGAACUAGAUAAACAAUUUUUGUCCAUGUGAAGCUUAACGGUGUGAUCACAGUGCUGUAGCGAGACCAUUUGAGUCCGGUUGCUGUAACCAAUCAUAACUGAGCAGACUUGCUUUGAAGGAGUUGAUAUUCUUUCUAUGUCAGUGGUUUAACGGCAGAACUCUCGCUUAUAAGGACCACGCAGUUCUACCUAAAGCUUAGGAGAUAUGGAGUUUGGAAUUACUUCUACAAGUACAUACAGAGAUCAUUAAGAUGAUUGAUGAGGAGAGUGAGGAACGAAUGGUCUUGACUUGUUGGAACAAAAGCUGAAGGAAAUGAGGAUUCUUGAUAAUGUUGAGUUGCCCUCAAAUGUUUGUUAAAUCAGUGAAAGUUCUGCUGUUGAAUCAGUAGUUGAAGAUGUUGAAGUUGACGAUUCUAAUAAAGAAACCAAUUCGACUACUAAAGAGGAGGAAGAAGAAAAACAGGAGCAAGAGGAGGAGAAAAUUGAUGUGAAACUUUAGGCAGAUCCAACGCAGCCAAAGAUUAUCCGAGUGACAAAUCUAUAAGUUGUUGAUGGACAUGAAGUAUAAUGGGAUUUCUGAGUUUCACAGUGAAAUUCUCAAUAAAUUUUAUAAGUUUUGGCUUGAGAAGUUUCAGAAUAAAACAAAUGGAGUAACACCAAGAAGGAUUUCUUUUUGCAAUCCAGAUCUGAGUAUUCCUGUCCAAAUGGAGUGGAACAGAUGAUUAGGUACUCAACACUCAGAAACUCAAGACCUUCAAAAAAGACAUUGCUAUUUGAUGCGUGCUACUAAUUGGUAUGUAACUUGCCGACCCUUUUAUCAUUUUUGAUAACCUGGUCCUGUUCCAUUGGUAUUUUUGGUAGCACUUCGUUUCAAUUUGUGUAGUAGUUGAAAAUGAUAAGCACAAGUUUAUUGGAAGCAUUUUAAAGCAAUUCACUAAGCAUGCAGAGAAAUGACCCUUGAUGGCUGAGGUUGCAAGAGAAUUUCUUUCCGUAACCUCAAGAACUCAGCUUCCACAUUCAUACUCAUCUACUUUGGACGAGAUGUCCAGUUUAAAUGUGGAACGAGGGAUUACCCCAUUAUUCUUUUAAGGUUUCAUCUCUUUGUAUGCAUAAAAAUGCAACUUGAUUUCACAUAUGUUAUAUUCAUAUCACUUGAGCGAGGAAAAAAAUGUUUGUAUCGUAUUCUCUGUUGAGUAUGGGGAUUUAGGCUAUUGAUGAACAUGUGUAAAUUAAGAUUAGCAAGAAUUUCAUAGAUUUACCAUACAGAAAGAGCGCAAAUUUAAAAUUAUUGUCGGAAUGGUAAGGAAUCAUGUUAGCAUACUUAUAGGAAAAUUUCAGUUGUAUCCUAA